UACGAGGGGGGCAAGCGUUGUUCGGAAUUAUUGGGCGUAAAGGGCGCGUAGGCGGUGCGGUAAGUCUGAUGUGAAAUCUCCGGGCUCAACUCGGAGUCUGCAUCAGAAACUGCCGUGCUCGAGUGUGGGAGAGGUGAGUGGAAUUCCCGGUGUAGCGGUGAAAUGCGUAGAGAUCGGGAGGAAUACCUAUGGCGAAAGCAGGCUUCUGGGCCAUCACUGACACUGAUCUGCGAAAGCUAGGGGAGCAAACAGG
rnacentral:rRNA from 1 species